GCCGCGGUGGUGGAACUGGCAGACACAUACGCUUGAGGGGCGUACGGGUAAAACCAUGGGAGUUCAAAUCUCCCCCGCGGCA
rnacentral:tRNA from 4 species